GAGACUGAGAUUGUCUGCAGGAGCCCAUAAAAGCUCUGAGAGCAGCUGAGCUGUGUUGUGUUGGCCUGGGAACUGCAGCAGAGUGUAGUGUAAUAUCUGCUUUGAAUUGAAAGCAUUUAUUUAUUUUUUUAAUUUUAGUUGUAUGUAUGCUUAGUGUUUGUUAAGCUUCAGGUUAGAGCUGAGGGGUCCUUGGCUGGUUGUGACACUUGAUCCAUCAGCUGAGGGUCCCCGAGUGCAGCUAAAAGACACUUUUCUGCAUCUAAAAGGCUUAGAGGAAGAUUGAAGUACAUUUGGGCAGAAUUCUGCGUGGAGAAAGUGCAGCUUUCUAGCAGUAAGAAGCGGUAAAACACAACUGAAAAGGAGCCAUUGAACUGCAGCAGUAUUGGAUAUGGAGUGGUCACCACCGGAACAAUUGAGAACUAAUGUGGCACUGUGGAAAUUGUUAAUGCUACAGGUCUUUCUGCUGACUGCAAUGAUUUGCUAAAUACAGAUAAAAUAACAAAUAAAGGACAAUAAUAAGCACAUCAUCAUAGAUGGAUUCUAUACAUCUUUUGAACUGACUGCGGCAAAACAUGUAGUACUGUCUUACUGAGGUUUUUUUCAAUAUUGCUGUUGCGUUUCCUAUUUAUCUCACUUUUUGGGUAUUAAUUUGUUAACGACUAAUUUCAGCUGGUAUUUAUUUAUUGGCAGAAAAAAAAUGCAUCUGGAUUGUGAGGAUGAGAGGUGUAACUUAUAGCUGUAUUUAAGGAAUUUAUGAGCCAGAGAUGGAUCUCACAGGUAUGAACUGUACUCACAAGAUGGUGGCAAUUGUUAAUCAGAUUAAUGAGAAGUAUGCCGCAAUGUCCUAUGAGGCUGUGUUAUUGAUACGCUGUAUAAAUUGAAAAUGAUCUUUCACAACAUUUUCAACCUGGUGCUUUUUAAAAAUAUAUUCCAAACUGAAUUUAGAAUACUAUUUGUAUUCAGUACUUGAAAUUAAAAUGUACAAAUCUCGUAAGGGAAA